rnacentral:rRNA from 1 species
AUUGAACGCUGGCGGCAGGCCUAACACAUGCAAGUCGAACGGUAACAGGAAGAAGCUUGCUUCUUUGCUGACGAGUGGCGGACGGGUGAGUAAUGUCUGGGAAACUGCCUGAUGGAGGGGGAUAACUACUGGAAACGGUAGCUAAUACCGCAUAAUGUCGCAAGACCAAAGAGGGGGACCUUCGGGCCUCUUGCCAUCGGAUGUGCCCAGGUGGGAUUAGCUAGUAGGUGGGGUAACGGCUCACCUAGGCGACGAUCCCUAGCUGGUCUGAGAGGAUGACCAGCCACACUGGAACUGAGACACGGUCCAGACUCCUACGGGAGGCAGCAGUGGGGAAUAUUGCACAAUGGGCGCAAGCCUGAUGCAGCUAUGCCGCGUGUAUGAAGAAGGCCUUCGGGUUGUAAAGUACUUUCAGAGGGGAGGAAGGGAGUAAAGUUAAUACCUUUGCUCAUUGACGUUACCCGCAGAAGAAGCACCGGCUAACUCCGUG